rnacentral:lncRNA from 1 species
GGCUAGGCUUUCAGGUCUCUGGCUGCACUCGCUCACCUUCUCACCACAACGGUCUGACCGACAAUGAAUGACGCGCUGCUCAAGUACUUCGAACCACAAUCGGGGGGUGAUGGCGGAUGCUUGCCUAGCUAACUUUGGUUACAGCUGGGAAGCAGCGGUUAGCAAGGCCGACUUUUAUAUCAAAUCGGCGACUGAACGGGAGGCGAAAUGUUUCGGAGACCUUGACAUUUGGUGGUCAAUGUUUGUGGUACGAAAAUAUCGAACGACUUGAGAAAGAGUUGGG